GAUAAACACUGGCGGCGUGCCUAAUACAUGCAAGUCGAUCGGAAGCGGAGCAAUCCGCUUUAGAGGCGAACGGGUGAGUAAGACAUAAGCAACCUGGCCACAAAGACGGGGAUAACACUUGGAAACGAGCGCUAAUACCGGAUAAGUAUCAGCGGGGCAUUCCGCUGAUAUAAAAGGGAGAGAAACGCGAGUGGAUGGGCUUAUGGUGCAUUAGUUAGUUGGCGGGAUAAGAGCCCACCAAGACGAUGAUGCAUAGCCGGACUGAGAGGUUGACCGGCCACAUUGGGACUGAGACACGGCCCAGACUCCUGCGGGAGGCAGCAGUAGGGAAUUUUCGGCAAUGGGGGGAACCCUGACCGAGCAACGCCGCGUGAGUGAAGAAGUUUUUCGGAAUGUAAAGCUCUGUUGUAAGGGAAGAAGAGAUAUGGAGGACCAUAUUGUGACGGUACCUUACGAGGAAGCCACGGCUAACUACGUGCCAGCAGCCGCGGUAAUACGUAGGUGGCGAGCGUUAUCCGGAAUUAUUGGGCGUAAAGGGUGCGUAGGCGGCCGACUAAGUUCAAGGUGAAAGCGUGGGGCUCAACCCCAUAAAGCCUUGGAUACUGGUUGGCUGGAGUACUGGAGAGGGUAGUGGAAUUCCAUGUGUAGCGGUAAAAUGCGUAGAUAUAUGGAGGAACACCGGAGGCGAAAGCGGCUACCUGGACAGUAACUGACGCUGAGGCACGAAAGCGUGGGGAGCGAAUAGGAUUAGAUACCCUAGUAGUCCACGCCGUAAACGAUGAAUACUAAAUGUCGGGGAAACCCGGUGUUGGAACAAACGCAAUAAGUAUUCCGCCUGUGGAGUAUGCACGCAAGUGUGAAACAUAAAGGAAUUGACGGGGGCCCGCACAGGCGGUGGAGCAUGUGGUUUAAUUCGACGCAAC
rnacentral:rRNA from 1 species